AGAGCGAACGCUGGCGGCAGGCCUAACACAUGCAAGUCGAGCGCCCGUAGCAAUACGGGAGCGGCAGACGGGAGAGUAACACGUGGGAACGCGCCCUUCGGUUCGGAAUAACUCAGGGAAACUUGAGCUAAUACCGGAUACGCCCUUACGGGGAAAGAUUUAUUGCCGAAGGAACGGCCCGCGUCCGAUUAGCUAGUUGGUGAGGUAAUGGCUCACCAAGGCGACGAUCGGUAGCUGGUCUGAGAGGAUGACCAGCCUCACUGGGACUGAGACACGGCCCAGACUCCUACGGGAGGCAGCAGUGGGGAAUAUUGGACAAUGGGCGCAAGCCUGAUCCAGCCAUGCCGCGUGGAUGAUGAAGGCCUUAGGGUUGUAAAGUCCUUUAACGGGAGAUAAUGACGGUACCGUAGAAUAAGCCCGGCUAACUUCGCGCCAGCAGCCGC
rnacentral:rRNA from 1 species